rnacentral:sRNA from 1 species
AUCAACAAAUCACUCGGAUUUCGUAUUCAACGCGGAUCGUCUGAUGCGGCUUGUAAUUGAAGAAUGUCUCAAUCAUCUUCCAUUCACUGAGCACACAGUUACCACACCAACAGGCUUCAAAUAUGAAGGAAUUCAAUUUAAUCGUGGAAAUUGUGGAGUAUCGUUGUGUAGAAGUGGAGAGGCGAUGGAAGUUUCAUUGAGACAGUGUUGUCGGUGUAUUCGAAUUGGAAAAAUUCUGAUUGGUACGGGAAAUUGAGGAUAUCGAGAGGAAUUUGGGAAAUUUCCUAGAAAAGGCGAAGAAAAUUGAGAAAUAUAGAAGAAAAUGGCGAAAAAUCACCAAAAUCAUUGCGAUUUUCAUCAAUUUCUCCCUGAAAUUACCUGGAAUCUCUUAUAAAUGCAGAUUUCUGCUUGAAAAAUGGAAAAAUCUGGUGAAUAUCCAGUUUUUAUAGAUUUUCUCCUGAAUACCCCUCAAAAUCUGUGAAAAGUCUGACUUUUCCUUCAAAAAUACCUCUAAUUCGUAGAGAAACUCGUUUUUUCAGCCGAAAAAUGUUUUUUUUUUUAAAUCUGUAAUAAAUAUGUACUGUUCUUAUGGUAAAAUUCCUGAAAAAUAUAUUAAAAAUAUAUAUAAUAGUAAAAUUUGCGUUUUUACCCAGAAAAGUGGUAGAAAUCGUGAGUUUUACUGAGUUUGUCGAAAACUGGCGAUACUUUUUUAAAAGAAAAACCUCAAAACUCGCAAAAUUUCCAAUUUUCAUCCACUUUUUGUUACAGGCGACGAACAAAAAGUGCUCUACGCCAGGCUUCUUCCGGAUAUCACGUCGCGUCGAGUUCUACUGCUCUACCCAACGAUAGGG